UCGAUAUACUUGCGUCUCCAUGCA
rnacentral:miRNA from 1 species